GACGAACGCUGGCGGCGUGCUUAACACAUGCAAGUCGAACGGAAAGGCCCUGCUUGCAGGGUGCUCGAGUGGCGAACGGGUGAGUAACACGUGGGUGAUCUGCCCCUUACUUUGGGAUAAGCCUGGGAAACUGGGUCUAAUACUGGAUAGGACCAUGCUGUAGGUGGUGUGGUGGAAAGAUUAGUUUCGGUAAGGGAUGAGCUCGCGGCCUAUCAGCUUGUUGGUGGGGUAAUGGCCUACCAAGGCGUCGACGGGUAGCCGGCCUGAGAGGGUGGACGGCCACAUUGGGACUGGGAUACGGCCCAGACUCCUACGGGAGGCAGCAGAGGGGAAUAUUGCACAAUGGGCGCAAGCCUGAUGCAGCGACGCCGCGUGGGGGAUGACGGCCUUCGGGUUGUAAACUCCUUUCAGCCAUGACGAAGCCCUUGUGGUGACGGUAGUGGUAGAAGAAGCACCGGCUAACUACGUG
rnacentral:rRNA from 1 species